UACAGAGGUCUCAAGCGUUGUUCGGAUUCAUUGGGCGUAAAGGGUGCGUAGGCGGCGCGGUAAGUCGGGUGUGAAAUCUCGGAGCUUAACUCCGAAACUGCAUUCGAUACUGCCGUGCUUGAGGACUGGAGAGGAGACUGGAAUUUACGGUGUAGCGGUGAAAUGCGUAGAUAUCGUAAGGAAGACCAGUGGCGAAGGCGGGUCUCUGGACAGUUCCUGACGCUGGAGGCAACGGAAGGUCAGGGGAGCAAACGGG
rnacentral:rRNA from 1 species